UACGGAAGGCAGCAGUGGGGAAUAUUGCACAAUGGGCGAAAGCCUGAUGCAGCUAUGCCGCGUGUAUGAAGAAGGCCUUAGGGUUGUAAAGUACUUUCAUCGGGGAGGAAAAAACAAAACUAAUAAUUUUAUUUCUUGACGUUACCCGAAAAAGAAGCACCGGCUAACUCCGUGCCAGCAGCCGCGGUAAUACGGAGGGUGCUAGCGUUAAUCAGAAUUACUGGGCGUAAAGAGCACGUAGGUGGUUUUUUAAGUCAGAUGUGAAAUCCCUGGGCUUAACCUAGGAACUGCAUUUUGAAACUGAAAUACUAGAGUAUCGUAGAGGGAGGUAGAAUUCUAGGUGUAGCGGUGAAAUGCGUAGAUAUCUGGAGGAAUACCUGUGGCGAAAGCGGCCUCCUAAACGAAUACUGACACUGAGGUGCGAAAGCGUUGGGGAGCAAACAGGGAUUUAGAUACC
rnacentral:rRNA from 1 species